rnacentral:rRNA from 1 species
CCUACGGGAGGCAGCAGUGGGGGAUAUUGCACAAUGGGGGAAACCCUGAUGCAGCGACGCCGCGUGUGGGAAGACGGUCCUCUGGAUUGUAAACCACUGUCCCCAGGGAUGAAGAUGACGGUACCUGGGGAGGAAGCUCCGGCUAACUACGUGCCAGCAGCCGCGGUAAUACGUAGGGAGCGAGCGUUGUCCGGAAUUACUGGGUGAAAAGGGAGCGUAGGCGGGACUGCAAGUUGGGUGUCAAAUCUACCGGCUCAACCGGUAGCCGCACUCAAAACUGCAGUUCUUGAGUGAAGUAGAGGCAGGCGGAAUUCCUAGUGUAGCGGUGAAAUGCGUAGAUAUUAGGAGGAACACCAGUGGCGAAGGCGGCCUGCUGGGCUUUUACUGACGCUGAGGCUCGAAAGUGUGGGGAGCAAACAGGAUUAGAUACCCCAGUAGUC